GACGAACGCUGGCGGCGUGCUUAACACAUGCAAGUCGAACGGAAAGGCCCUGCUUUUGUGGGGUGCUCGAGUGGCGAACGGGUGAGUAACACGUGAGUAACCUGCCCUUGACUUUGGGAUAACUUCAGGAAACUGGGGCUAAUACCGGAUAGGAGCUCCUGCUGCAUGGUGGGGGUUGGAAAGUUUCGGCGGUUGGGGAUGGACUCGCGGCUUAUCAGCUUGUUGGUGGGGUAGUGGCUUACCAAGGCUUUGACGGGUAGCCGGCCUGGGAGGGUGACCGGCCACAUUGGGACUGAGAUACGGCCCAGAAUCCUACGGUAGGCAGCAGUGGGGAAUAUUGCACAAUGGGCGGAAGCCUGAUGCAGCAGCGCCGCGUGCGGGAUGACGGCCUUCGGGUUGUAAACCGCUUUCGCCUGUGACGAAGCGUGAGUGACGGUAAUGGGUAAAGAAGCACCGGCUAACUACGUG
rnacentral:rRNA from 1 species